CUCCACUGCCCUCAGCCAAAGAAACACGCGUGGGGAUGAGGCACAGGACAGUGUUCCCAAGGGAAAGAACAAUCCUGGCCGAUACCGGCCUGGCUCCUUAACGGGUAUAAAUGGGUGUCCUCUGCUGCUCUGCGCCAGGUUCCCUCCCUCCUUGGGCUGCCAGUCCCCGCCGACCCACCUUGGCCUGGAUGCCUGCGAGGUUUUGGGGCUGCCGGAGACC
rnacentral:lncRNA from 1 species